CCGCACUCGAACGGCCUCCGCCCUGAGUGCGUGCUCGGCUGCUUCACUGCAUCCGAGGAGCACUUGAAGCUCUGGCCACAGGUGGUACACAGGAGACAUCAGACACGCUCAGUUGUAGACACCAGAAAACCAUCACACAAUGCAAUGUUACAAGUGAAUCUGCCAAGCUACGGUCAUGACAGGGGUAAGAAUAAAGUCACUCCCAGCCGAUGCCUAUUA